rnacentral:rRNA from 1 species
GGGCUUCGGUCCGUGAGUACAGCGGCGCACGGGUGAGUAACACGUGGGUGAUCUGCCCAACUGAUUGGGAUAACCUGCCGAAAGGCGGGCUAAUACCGGAUACGUUCCAUUGGAUUUUGGUCUGGUGGAAGAAAGGGGGCUGAUGAGGUCCCGCAGUUGGAUGAGCCCGCGGUCCAUCAGCUAGUUGGUGAGGUAACGGCUCACCAAGGCGAAGACGGAUAGCUGGUCUGAGAGGAUGAUCAGCCACACUGGAACUGAGACACGGUCCAGACUCCUACGGGAGGCAGCAGUGGGGAAUUUUGGUCAAUGGGCGAAAGCCUGAACCAGCAACGCCGCGUGGGUGAUGAAGGCCUUCGGGUUGUAAAGCCCUGUCGGGAGGGACGAAACCCUGCGCUAACCACGCAGGUUGACGGUACCUCCAAAGGAAGCACCGGCUAACUCUGUGCCAGCAGCCGCGGUAAUACAGAGGGUGCAAGCGUUG